GACGUAGGAUGCAAGCGUUGUCCGGAUUUAUUGGGCGUAAAGAGUUCGUAGGUGGUUUGUUAAGUCUGAUGUUAAAGACUGGGGCUCAACCUCGGAAAUGCAUUGGAUACUGGCAGACUUGAGUGUGGUAGAGGCAAUCGGAAUUCCAGGUGUAGCGGUGAAAUGCGCAGAUAUCGGGAGGAACACCGGUGGCGAAGGCGGUUCUCUGGGCCUUACCUGACACUGAGGAGCGAAAGCGUGGGGAGCGAACAGG
rnacentral:rRNA from 1 species